ensembl:lncRNA
CACUGAACAGAAGAGACAGAACAUUUCCAGCAACACAGGAAGUUUUUUUGGACGUGCUACUCUAGACUCUAGGGGCAAGAGCCUUGCCAUCUACUUAAGCAAAGAUGAGGAAAACUGAUGCCUAGAAAUUUGAAGUGACCUUCAGACUCACCCAACCUGCAAGAGGUGGCUGUGGCAUCAAACCUCCGUGUCUUUGCCCUCACAGCCUGAACUCUUAAGUGCUGCACUUUGUUGCAAGAAUAAUUGCAGCUUACAAGGUGCGCUGGAAGUCUUGGAAUUUGACACCUACACAAUCUGACAUUUACGACUUGGAAGAGGAGGCCUGGAGUGGGUGAUCUGACUUCCAAUGAGCCUUUCAGUAAAUCUUGAGUGGGCUCUUACCAUGUACCAAGCAUCAUGCUAGGUUUGCAGAUACACAUGGACGAGGCAGCAGUGGCAGCCACCCCUCCAUGGAGCCUGCAGUCCAGGGACCAGCCAGAGGAGGAUCAUUCAUUGCCAUUGAGAGAGGUGCCCUCAGUGUAAGUGUUCAGGAGUUAAGUGUAAGCAAGCAAAUAGCGAUGAUCAUACUAAGUGAAGUAAGUCAGGAAGAGAAAGACAAAUACCAUAUGAUAUCACUUGUGAAAGUGAAAGUCGCUCAGUUGUGUCUGACUCUUUGCGACCCCAUAGACUAUGCAGUCCAUGGAAUUCUCCAGGCCAGAAUACUGGAGUGGAUAGCCCUUUCCUUCUCCAGGGGAUCUUCCCAACGCAUGGAUCGAACCCAGGUCUCUCGCGUCGCAGGCAGAUUCUUACCUGCUGAGCCACAAGGGAAGCGCCUAAGAAUACUGGAGAGGAUAGCCAACCCUUCUCUAGUGGAUCUUCCCGACCCAGGAAUAGAACCAGGGUCUCCUGCAUUGCAGGCAGAUUCUUUACUAACUUCAAGGGAAGCCCUGUUAUCACUUGUAUGUGGAAUCUAAAAUAUGACACAAACGAACCUAUCUAUGAAACAGAAACAGAAUCACAGGCAUAGAGAACAGACCUGUGGUUGCCAAGGGGUG